rnacentral:rRNA from 1 species
AUUAGUUUUUUAAUUGAAGGCUAGAAUGAAUGGUUGGACAAGAAAUAAUCUGUCUCAGGUUAAUAUAUUGAAUUUAACUUUUAAGUGAAAAGGCUUAAAUAAUCUGGGGGGACGAUAAGACCCUAUAAAACUUUAUAUUGAAAGGGGGUAAGUAAAUUUUGUUUAAGGUUAUGUGCUUAAAAUAUUUGGUUGGGGUGACAGGGAUAGAAGAAAAGGUAACUGUUUUUUUUUAUUACAAAUAAUAUUUGGAUUAGUGAUCCUGAAGUGGAUUUAAGAUUAAGUUACUUUAGGGAUAACAGCGUAAUUUUCUUUGAGAGUUCUUAUCGAUAAGAGAGUUUGCGACCUCGAUGUUGAAUUAAAGGUUCUUUAUGGAGUAGAGACUAUAAAAGAGGGUCUGUUCGACCUUUAAAAUUUUACAUGAUUUGAGUUCAGACCGG